rnacentral:tRNA from 1 species
GGUAGAGCAGAGGACUGAAAAUUCUCGUGUCGCCAGUUCAAAUCUGGUUCCUG